UGAGACACGGCCCAGACUCCUACGGGAGGCAGCAGUGGGGAAUAUUGCACAAUGGGCGAAAGCCUGAUGCAGCCAUGCCGCGUGUGUGAAGAAGGCCUUAGGGUUGUAAAGCACUUUCAGCGAGGAGGAAAGGUCAGUAGCUAAUAAUUUCUGGCUGUGACGUUACUAGCAGAAGAAGCACCGGCUAAUUUAGCGCCAGCAGCCGCGGUAAUACUAAAGGUGCAAGCGUUAAUCGGAAUUACUGGGCGUAAAGCGCGCGUAGGUGGUUUGUCAAGUUGAAUGUGAAAGCCCAGGGCUCAACCUUGGAACAGCAUC
rnacentral:rRNA from 1 species